GGCGACGCGUCAGGGACACGGCACGGCCCGCGGCCGCGGCACGGAGCGAGUGUGCGCGGAGCUGGGCGCUGCGGGACCCGCCCCGGCUCGCUCCAGUUGGGCGUUUGUUUUAAACUCCAAUGGGUGAUGAAAAGGAUUCUUGGAAAGUGAAGACUUUAGAUGAAAUUCUUCAGGAAAAGAAGCGAAGGAAGGAGCAAGAAGAGAAGGCAGAGAUAAAACGUAUGAAAAAUUCAGAUGAUCGGGAUUCAAAGCGGGAUUCUCUCGAGGAGGGGGAGCUGAGAGACCAUCGCAUGGAAAUAACCAUCAGGAACUCACCUUACAGGAGGGAAGACUCUAUGGAAGACAGAGGAGAAGAAGAUGAUUCCUUGGCUAUAAAACCACCUCAGCAAAUGUCACGGAAAGAAAAAACCCACCAUCGGAAAGACGAGAAGAGGAAAGAGAAGCGCAGACACCGCAGCCAUUCAGCAGAAGGGAAACAUGCCAGAGUGAAAGAGAAAGAACGGGAACAUGAGCGUAGGAAGAGACACAGAGAAGAGCAGGACAAAGCCCGGCGGGAGUGGGAGAGACAGAAACGGAGAGAGAUGGCAAGGGAGCAUUCCAGGAGGGAGAGAGACCGUCUGGAGCAGCUGGAGAGAGAGCGAGAGAGAAAAAUCCGAGAGCAGCAGAAAGAGCAAAGGGAGCAAAAGGAGCGAGAGAGGAGAGCAGAGGAGAGGAGGAAGGAGCGGGAGGCCAGGAGAGAAGUUUCUGCACACCAUAGAACAGUGAGGGAAGAAUAUGGAGACAAAGUAAAAAUGAGACCCUGGAGUCGCAGUCCGUUACGGCAGCAGAGAGACAAGCUUGAGCAAGGAGAUAGCAGGAAACCAGCAGUGAAAGAAGAGAAACCAGAAGAGAGGGAUCCCCUGUCAGACUUGCAAGACAUCAGUGACAGCGAGAGAAAAACCAGCUCGGCAGAGUCUUCCUCAGAGUCGGGAUCGGGCUCGGAAGAAGAGGAAGAAGAGUCCAGCAGCGAAGGUUCUGAGGAAGAGGGAGAGGAAGAGGAGGAGGAGGAGGAGGAGGAGGAAGAGGAGGAGACAGGCAGCAAUUCUGAGGAGGUGUCUGAGCAGUCAGCUGAAGAGGUGAGCGAAGAGGAAAUGAGCGAAGAGGAGGAGCGGGAGAAUGGAAACCACAUCCCAGUUGUUACAGAGUCGAGGUUUGACCGAGAUUCAGCGGGAAGUGAAGUAGAAGAGGAGGACGAAGGGGAGGGGAGCCCUCACUCCAAUGCCAUGACAGAAGGAGACUACAUUCCUGACUCACCAGCCUCCUCCCCCGUUGAACUGAAACAGGAGCUUCCCAAGUAUCUUCCUGCACUUCAGGGCUGUCGUAGCGUGGAGGAGUUUCAGUGCUUGAACAGGAUCGAAGAGGGAACGUACGGUGUCGUGUACAGAGCCAAGGACAAGAAGACUGACGAGAUCGUGGCCCUGAAGCGACUGAAAAUGGAGAAGGAGAAGGAAGGUUUUCCCAUUACCUCCCUGAGAGAAAUAAAUACCAUCCUGAAAGCACAGCAUCUGAAUAUUGUCACUGUCAGGGAAAUUGUGGUGGGCAGCAACAUGGAUAAAAUCUACAUUGUGAUGAACUAUGUGGAGCACGAUCUCAAGAGCCUGAUGGAAACGAUGAAGCAGCCGUUUCUGCCAGGUGAAGUGAAGACCCUGAUGAUUCAGUUACUGCGAGGAGUCAAACACCUCCACGACAACUGGAUCCUUCACCGAGACUUGAAAACUUCCAACCUGUUGCUGAGCCACUCAGGCAUCUUAAAGGUGGGGGAUUUCGGGCUGGCCCGUGAGUACGGCUCCCCGCUGAAGCCCUACACACCCGUGGUUGUCACCCUGUGGUACAGGGCUCCAGAGCUGCUGCUUGGAGCUAAGGAAUACUCGACAGCCAUAGACAUGUGGUCAGUGGGCUGCAUCUUCGGGGAGCUGCUCACGCAGAAGCCGCUUUUCCCGGGGAAGUCAGAAAUCGAUCAGAUCAACAAAGUUUUCAAGGAUCUGGGUACUCCAAGUGAGAAAAUCUGGCCAGGUUACAACGAGCUGCCAGCAGUGAAGAAGAUGACAUUCACAGAAUAUCCCUACAACAACCUGCGCAAGAGAUUCGGGGCGCUGCUGUCCGACCAGGGCUUCGACCUGAUGAACAACUUUUUGACAUACUACCCAGCCAGAAGGAUCACAGCUGAGGAUGGGUUGAAGCACGAGUACUUCAGGGAGACUCCCCUUCCCAUCGACCCCUCCAUGUUUCCCACGUGGCCAGCCAAGAGCGAGCAGCAGCGGGUGAAGCGCGGCACCAGCCCCAGGCCGCCCGAGGGAGGCCUGGGCUACAGCCAGCUGGGUGACGACGAUCUGAAGGACACAGGCUUUCACCUGACCACCACAAACCAAGGAGCAUCUGCUGCAGGGCCUGGCUUCAGCCUCAAGUUUUAAACUCAACAUGAAAGAGGUGGAGAAGAAAAGAACCGUUCAUGUGAGUGGAUUUCUGAGUCCCCCAGUUCUGUUCUUCAGAGAGACCAGAUACUUUUCACAGGGAAAGAGUCCAACCACAGAGUGAAAGGCUCUGGCUGGGUGUGGAGUUUAACUGCUGCAUUCCCUUAGAGGACUGGAAGUAGCCUGAAAAGCCAAGGAUCAUUACAGGAUGUGACAAGGGAAAACUUGAAUCCUGGAACAGUUUCUGGUUUGUCUUUGUUGGGUUUGUUUUGGUUUUUCCCUUGUAAAUUUGUAGAAUUAAAAUACAUUUGUAAUUGUUUCCCAGUGUGAAGGAUUUCGUGUCUUCACAUGCAGCAAACCUGGCUGCUGGUGGCACCAGUUCUAGAGUGGAAGCUCAGGUCUGUGCUGGCUGUCACAGCAGUGUCAGCCUGGGACAGCAGCUCUUUACAAAGAUCUGUGUUUUAAGUAACUGUUCUGUGUCUGAAUAGAGUUAGGGCAAAACCCAGACCAGUUCUGAGGUUUCUUUCCUGCCUUGGGAGAGAGCUGGGCUGGGUUGGGCUCAAUACUCCAGCAUUUUUGGGUGCACUGCUGAGUGCUGCUGGCUGUGCUGUGUACAGGUGUUUGCAGUGGCCCUGCUGCAGAGGAGCUGCUCUGCUCUAUAAACCAAAAUGACUUCAGCUGGAGACUUGAAACUUUUUAUUGGCUCUAGAAAGCUCUUUCACAGGGGCCCUUUUUCCAUAAAAGGAAGAGCUCAGCUCUCCUGACUGUACAGUGGCAUCUUUCAGUCCUUGUCAGGUGAAAGAGCAGAGGAAUCAUGUUGGAAUAGCCCAGCCUUUGGAGGCUCCUCAUCAGGCUGCUGCUCUUUUCUGGGAACAGGAAGAUUUGGAUCAUCCUGGGGUAUUUGUGCACUCAGAACUGGGCACCAGUCCAGGAAAAGGAUUAACUUAAAUGAUAAACAUUCUCUCCCUUUCAGUCCAUGUGAAGAGUUUGUCUGGGUGAAGGCCUCAGAGCUGGGAUUUGGAUGCACUAACGCUGAAGGGAACUCCCAGCUCCCCCUGAGGACUGCAGCAGCCUUGGUUGCAGCAUCUCAGGUUUGGUUUUGUCUCAAGUGUCUAUUUGUGCAGAGUGUUGCCUUUUAUGAUCCUGAGCUUAAUUCAUUGUCCAUGCAAAGGUGCAUUUUUCACUGGUAAAACUGUCCUAGAAGAGAGGAGAAUGUUGCUGGCAGAGCCUCUGCUGUAAUGCAGAGCCCGUGGUAGGCUGCUGCUCCAUGUACUGUCAGAGACUGGGAACUGCCAGGAGCUGCACAGAGGGGAGGGCCCUGGGCUUCACCCACCCUCAUGGGUGCUCUGCUCCCCCUGGACAUGGCACCUUCAUUGCUUGGGUGAGGAGAUGGCAAUGACCUCAUGGCUGGUGGAACUGAGGGGCUGAGACACCUGAAGAGCUGCUGAUGGAGGUAAAUUACUGGGGUAAGAUUAAAUACACACCACGGGAAAAGGGUGGGGGGAAAGUUCUGUGGGCACUUGCACUGAACCUGUUGGAAUGGAGGAACUAGAAAGGGUUUGUGAGCCCACAUCCUGCUCCUGAGAAGCAGAGGAAACUGUAAUACCAGGUCUUACCCUUUGUAAAGUUCUAGUGCUAUGGCCCAGGAGCUAACAAAAUGACAGCAGAGCACUCCCAGAGCACACCUGGUGCUUUCCUCCCCGUCCCUCUGCCUCCAGCACAGCUGAGCCAUCGCUCUGGUCAUCCCUGGGCUCGAUGAAGAGUUGUGUUGUUCUCUGCAGCAGUGAUCCAGAGUCCAGCUGCACAACCUGACACUGGACUUUAGGAAAAAACCCAUUUAAUUGUCUGUACAGCACAAACCUGACAAAUCCUUCAUCAUACCACUGGCUUGGAAAAGUUUCACAUUCCAGCAGUCGGGCUCAGAGGCUCUUUUGCCCGAGGUGUGGAAGCAGCUGGUGGAGAAGCUCAUUUGUCAUCUGCACAACUGGAGCUUAAAUGUAAAAUGCCAAAGAAGUGUUUUGCAUUUGAAGCAGAAGGAGGAGUGGCUGGAGGGCUUGUUGCAGGGCCCUUGUUAGUGCUUCAGUCGGAUUCUCCAGGAAUAAGUAGUCAAGAUUCUUUCUUUCUUCUUCACUAUACAAGUGUAAGUUCCCUCAUUGAUGGCAUUUGCAAUGAUGCUCAUGUGAUCUUCAUUUAAGGACAAGUAACCUGGGUAGGAGUAUUCCAGAAGCUCCUUAUCUUUGUACCAGCUGUCAGAAGAAAGAUAACAGAAAUGAAACUCCACAAGCUCCAGUACAGGGCAACACUGGGGGCUGUGUUCUAGCUCCCAGGGAGGUUUGCAGAGCACAGCUGGGGCUUGAAACAAGGUUGUGUUUUACUCUGUGUUUCAGGCAGCUGAUGGCAGGUGCCACAGGGCACUCUCUGAGUCAUUUGGGGGCCUGAAAGUUGAUGGAAAUUUGGGUCCUCAGUCAAAAGUGACUCAUGGACUUGAAUGUAGCUCUCAGCUCUGGAUACCUCCAGAAAGAACGUGUAGGGGAGUAAGAGCUGGCAAACUAGUGAUGGAAGCAGUUGAUUUAAGACUGCAGUUUCUGGCCAGGGACUUGGACUUGAUGGUAAGAACCAUCUUUGUGCUGUAGCUGUGAACUGGAUUUGAUGCUCUCCCAUGUCCCACAGCUCUGUGCUCAGCCUGAGCCCCCUGCAGUGUCCUGCUCCGGUGCCAAGGAGACAGGAGUGCUCCAGGAGGGAAGCUGCUUCUUACUGAGGCUGCUCUGUCACCCUUCCUGGGCUCUUGUGGUGUGUGAGCUGGAAUAAAUGAGAGAGUACUUACUAAA